CUGGAAAGCCAUUAGAAGUUCUUAAGCAGAGGUUCUGCCAGUACUGAUUCCAUUUUGAAAAGACUCUGGCUGCCGUGUGGAUUCCCGAUUGUGGCCGGGCAAGAAUGCACGAAUCCUGACGUGGACCAGCAAGGACAGACUAGCAGGGGACUCUUGGUUUCUCUUUGCCUUGGUGUGUCUGGCCUCUCUUGAGGCCCCUCAGAUGCUCUCUCAAGUUCAGAGGAAGCCCACCCGCCUCACCUCCCUGUGCUCAUGUACACAAUCAGGAAGCAGUCCUGGCCAGCUCUACUUCUGAAAUUAAUUUACCAUUCUUCUCCAUCACGAAACUUCCUGCUACUUUGUCGCAGCACCUUGACGGCAUUUCACUCACCCCACUGAGGCAUGUGGUGACCGGUGAGAGGAGCAGGGCCCUGAGGAGGGGCCUUUCUGUCCAAUCCCGUCUGGUGUUGCAAGGCCAGGCCAGGCCCCACCUUCUCCGGGAAGCCCCUCUCCCCGCACUCACCAUUCCCAUCUCUCCUGACUUUGUGUCCCCACCCCCACUGAUUCCCCAGGGGUGCCCUUAGUAACCAUCUCCAUCUCCGGAUGAUGCGGGCUGCUACGUGGAUCCUCUCGUCCCCCAGUGCUGACAUCACCUGCACAGCCACCCCUUGGUUCCCUGCCCUGUCUGCAUCCCCUCGUCACACACCCAUCCCCGCCAUCUUUAGCUAAAACACGUGCACACACAUUUCCUCACGGAUCACCUGCUUGUUUAUCUGCAGCAACCUCGCAAGCUUUCCUUCAUAGUUGUGCCCUCAGUCCCCUUUUCCGUGCUAGAUGUCCACAGCCCACCCAUCCGGACGCCCGCAGUGAGCUCACUAGGAAUGCACACCCCUACCUCCCCGGGGCGGGGCGCCUACAACCUGAUGGACUCCUACCUGAUCGACCUUCCCACCCGAAAGUUAGGCUGCGGUUCUUCUGCUCAUUUUGACCCUGGUGUACCUUUGAUCACUGAUCUGCAAUCCAGUUCGUUUUCUCCACUUAACCCCAGCACCUUUCUUCUGCCUUGUGCAGAAGCGUUUAUUUGUGCGCGCACUGCAGAGGGUCAGCAGGGAGAGAGCUGGUGGUGUCUGCGUGGGGGUGAGGGAGUAAGAGGCAGCUUCACACAGAGGUGUGGGCUCCCACGCCAACCACUCUGGGCAGGUUAUGUAAGCACGGGCUAGUCAAGCCUGUGUGGCUGUGCCUUUCCCCCCUAGGAUUCGGGUGUCCUGUUAGUCAGGGUUAUAUAAAAAAAGGGGAUGGGAUCUCUAUAAACGCACGCUUAGCUAAGCUCAGCCCUUUGAAGGAUUUUCGUAUUUUGAACACAUCACCAUGUACUUUUUAAAGUUAAUACAACACUUCUCCCGCUUUCACCUGAUUCCUCAUUCACCCACCCCCAGCCGUCACACAACUGUCCCCCGGAUUCCACCACCCCCGCCCCCUUGGACUUUACCUGUGUGGGGCGGGUGUUGGGACGGGGGCCU